rnacentral:rRNA from 1 species
CUGACAUGUGUGCGAGUCAACGGGCGAGUAAACCCGUAAGGCGUAAGGAAGCUGAUUGGUGGGAUCCCCCUGAGGGGUGCACCGCCGACCGACCUUGAUCUUAUGAGAAGGGUUCGAGUGUGAGCAUACCUACUGGGACCCGAAAGAUGGUGACCUAUGCCUGAGCGGGGAGAAGCCAAAGCAUACUCUAGUGGAGGACCAUUGUGAUACUGACGUGCAAAUCGUUCAUCUGACUUGGGUAUAGGGGCGAAAGACUAAUUGAACCAUUUAGCAGCUAG